AGCGUAGACGGUCGUCCAAGUCUGAAGUGAAAGCCCGGGGCUCAACCCCGGAACUGCUUUGGAAACUGGGCAACUAGAGUGCAGGAGAGGUAAGUGGAAUUCCUAGUGUAGCGGUGAAAUGCGUAGAUAUUAGGAGGAACACCAGUGGCGAAGGCGGCUUACUGGACUGUAACUGACGUUGAGGCUCGAAAGCGUGGGGAGCAAACA
rnacentral:rRNA from 1 species